CCUACGGGAGGCAGCAGUGGGGAAUUUUGGACAAUGGGCGCAAGCCUGAUCCAGCAAUGCCGCGUGAGUGAAGAAGGCCUUCGGGUUGUAAAGCUCUUUUGUCAGGGAAGAAAAGGCUACGGAUAAUACCUGUGGCUCAUGACGGUACCUGAAGAAUAAGCACCGGCUAACUACGUGCCAGCAGCCGCGGUAAUACGUAGGGUGCAAGCGUUAAUCGGAAUUACUGGGCGUAAAGCGUGCGCAGGCGGUUUUGUAAGACUGUCGUGAAAUCCCCGGGCUCAACCUGGGAAUGGCGAUGGUGACUGCAAGGCUAGAGUUUGGCAGAGGGGGGUAGAAUUCCACGUGUAGCAGUGAAAUGCGUAGAUAUGUGGAGGAACACCGAUGGCGAAGGCAGCCCCCUGGGUCAAAACUGACGCUCAUGCACGAAAGCGUGGGGAGCAAACAGGAUUAGAUACCCUGGUAGUCCACGCCCUAAACGAUGUCUACUAGUUGUCGGGUCUUAAUUGACUUGGUAACGCAGCUAACGCGUGAAGUAGACCGCCUGGGGGAGGUACGGUCGCGAGAAGUAAACGUAACGAAAGAAGUUAGACGGCGUGAGACGUAGCCGACGGACGACGACGAGGGAGGAGGG
rnacentral:rRNA from 1 species